ACUAUAGUAAUCUCAUUUUUAUAGAUGCCAAGUAAAGAUGGAUGUAGACAGCUUAAGGAAGUCACUUGCUCAGAAUGGACAGGAGCAUCUCCUAAAGCACUGGGAUCAACUGACAGACUCUGAUAAGAAAUCGCUUUACAGUGAUCUUUCCAGCAUUAACUACAAAGAGGUAAAUGAAUUUUUUCAUGCUGCAACAGAAUCGCUUGAUGAUGUAUCAGAGAAGUUAGAUGUUUGCAUGUCGCCCAUCCCUGAUGAUGUAUUUGGCAGUGUUAGGACUAGCACACCCAGUGAAAUAGAGGAGUAUGAAACACAAGGUAUGAAGCAAAUCUCGGAGGGUCGUGUUGCUGUGGUGCUGCUUGCUGGUGGUCAAGGUACCCGGCUCGGAGUAAGCUACCCAAAGGGCAUGUACGAUGUUGGUCUGCCAUCAGGAAAGUCUCUGUAUCAAAUCCAAGCAGAGCGUAUAGUCAAGCUUCAGCAACUGGCAAGCGAGAAACAUGGAAAGCCCGGAAAUAUACCCUGGUACAUCAUGACAAGCAAACCUACAAAGGAACCAACUAAAGCCUUCUUCGAAAAGAACAAAUAUUUUGGUCUUGAUGAAAAGAAUGUCACAUUCUUUCAGCAGUGCACCCUUCCCUGCUUCACGUUUGAUGGGAAAAUUGUUUUGGAGAGUCCUUGCAAAAUAGCACAAGCACCAGAUGGUAAUGGUGGGCUGUACAGAGCAUUACGUGUGGGCGGGGUACUGGAAGACAUGCAGCAAAGAAGAGUCAAGUUUGUACACGUAUACUGUGUGGACAACAUCCUAGUAAAGAUGGCUGACCCAGUGUUUAUGGGUUUUUGUAUCAGCAAGGAGGCUGAGUGUGGGAACAAGGUUGUAGAAAAGGUGAUGCCAACAGAACCAGUUGGUGUGGUAUGUCUGGUGAACGGAGUAUACCAAGUAGUGGAAUACAGUGAGAUUACUUCACAGACUGCAGAAAAAAGGACAGCAGAUGGCCGACUUCUCUUUAGCUCAGGCAACAUCGCCAACCAUUUCUUCACCAUGGACUUCUUAAAGGCUGUUGUCAAUGAGAAAGAAAGCAUGCUAAAGCAUCAUGUUGCCAAGAAGAAGAUUCCAUACUGCGAUGGGGAUGGUCAGACUGUAAAACCCACCACCCCAAAUGGAAUAAAGAUGGAAAAGUUUGUGUUUGAUGUCUUCCAGUUUGCCAACCACUUUGCUGUUUGGGAAGCACUCAGGAACGACGAGUUUUCCCCACUAAAGAAUGCAGAUAGUGCUAGUAAAGACACACCAACUACUGCCCGUCAGGACCUGUUCUCUCUUAACCAUCGUCGCAUAGAGGCGAGUGGAGGAAAGCUUGUAAAGGAAGAUGGAACUCCUAUUCCAGCAGCUGUCUGGGGCUCCAUGGAGAGAAAUAACAAUGCAACAAAGAGCACUAUGUGAUGGGAAAUCUGUUAUCUUAGAACCACCUACCUGCGAGAUUUCUCCCCUAGUGUCCUAUGCAGGCGAGGGCUUGAAGGAGAAGGUGGC
rnacentral:misc_RNA from 1 species